GGUUUUACAAGUUUUUUAUAUUAUUUCUUAACUGUUUAAAUUUUUUAUUGUUCAUUUAAGAGUAUAAUGCAUCCAAAAGCUACAGUACAGUGAAGGGUAAACUACCUACAGUAUAGUGAAGGGUAAACUAGGAAGAGUUAGUGGACUUUGAUUAGAUCAUAUCCAUUCUUGUUCUUUUGCAUUUACUUUAUAUAUCAUCUGGUUCUUUUUUUUUUCACAUUAAAAUUCAUUCUCAGCUUUAUGUUUCUUUUUCUUUUGAUAUCAACUCCUAUAAACCCUUUUCUCUUUGUUCUCUAUCCAGUCACUAUGUUUCAGCAAUUAUCUUCUAGAAACAGAGCAUCUAGAUGAUGUCUUGGUGCUAGUUGUGACAGUUCUCUAUUUUGCCAUCUUUAUGCUUUUGUUAUGCAUAUUCUGGGUUAUAUUCGUUAAUUUUUUCACUAUUUAAUUUUAUGGGACCUUUUGUGUUUUGUUCAUUUUCAGAUGCAUAAACUUUCACCAGUUUUGACAACCAGUUGAUCAAUAUUUUCUUAUAUAUGUUUAAAGUAAGUAACAAAUUGGAUAGGAAAGAGAGACGAUCACUAUUUGCCCGUUGCUUCAUGCCUUUUCUUUUCUUUUCUUGUAACCUGUGUUUGUUUGUCUCCGUAAAAUUUGACUAGUGCUAGUUAGCAUGAUAGUGUCAAAAGGUAGUCAGUGCAUCUCAAGUGGUUAAAACCAGAGGGCCUAAGCUACCUCCUUGGUUGGAGCAAGUAAUGGGUUCACAUCAUGUCUACAGCGAAUUUCGGCUGGUAAUAUUCUUGAUAUGAGGAACCAACUGUGAGGCUUGUGUGCCAAAUAAAAUAUAUUGAGUUUGAACAGUGGUAAGACAUUCUGCAUGAAGAUGAAUUAAGGGGCCAAAUCUAGUUAUUUGAGGUUUAUUUAACCUAAAUAGAAGGGGCAGAGAUAAAUAAGAAUGUAGUGCAGAAUCAACAGAAAUAACAUUUUGGAAGAGUGUGGUGACGGUUUACGUAUGGAAGUGAAACUAUAAUCAUCUUUGCGAGGUAGGUCCAUUUAGGAGUGUUCUCUUUUCCAUGUCUAUAGUACUUAUAUGACAAGCUGCAUAUGGAAACAAUGGGGUUGGCAUCAUGAAAAUCAUCAUAUAUAGUUGUCAACAGAUGAUAGAAGCAAGGAUUCUAAUUUCGAAUUAUACCGCCCAUAUUGGGCGGUACGUACCG
rnacentral:lncRNA from 1 species